rnacentral:rRNA from 1 species
AACGAACGCUGGCGGCAUGCCUAACACAUGCAAGUCGAACGAGACCUUCGGGUCUAGUGGCGCACGGGUGCGUAACGCGUGGGAACCUGCCCUUAGGUUCGGAAUAACUCCCCGAAAGGGGUGCUAAUACCGGAUAAUGUCUUCGGACCAAAGAUUUAUCGCCUUUGGAUGGGCCCGCGUUGGAUUAGCUAGUUGGUAGGGUAAAAGCCUACCAAGGCGACGAUCCAUAGCUGGUCUGAGAGGAUGAUCAGCCACACUGGGACUGAGACACGGCCCAGACUCCGACGGGAGGCAGCAGUGGGGAAUAUUGGACAAUGGGCGAAAGCCUGAUCCAGCAAGGCCGCGUGAGUGAUGAAGGCCUUAGGGUUGUAAAGCUCUUUUACCCGGGAUGAUAAUGACAGGACCGGGAGAAUAAGCUCCGGCUAACUCCGG